GGAUGAGAAUCAGGUCGGUGGAUUUGACGCAUUUGAACAACACGGAGGAGCUGCCUUUGAAGAUGUACAAGUCGUUGUUGCCAGACUGCGGUUUCAGCUGCGGCCACAGAUUCAGCUCGUAGUGCAGCGGGACCAGGAAAAGAAGAUGCGGUGAUAUCAUGUGCAAUGAUGCGCCAGUACAUGAUUGGACAGAGCACUGAGCAUGUGCGGGAUUGCCAGAAUGUUCCAAUGCUGCCUGGCCUGCUGAGUUCCUCCAGCAUUUUGUGUGUGUUGCUCGGAUUUCCAGCAUCUGCAGAUUCUCUCUUGUUUGUAAAGACUCAUGCCCAUUCAGCCGGAACAUCACCAACAACCCACACCCUUUGUUGUCAAGAGAGAGGAGGAACUGUGGGAGGGAAUUGGAGCACGAGGACAAACCCACGUGUGCGACAGGGAGGACACACUUACAGACGGCACUGGAAUUGAACUCUGGAACUCCCCGAGGUGUAAGAACGUCGUGGAAAUGGCUUUGCUGCUCUGCACUCGGAACUUCUACUUCCUACGUUAACAAAAACCCCAGCAGAGGAUUUACUUCUUGUGGCAUUUGAUAACAUGUCAUCCCCCGACAUAUUGAUGCAACUACAAAAGGCGGCAAGGGAGCAGCUAUAUUUCAUUAGGAGUUUGUGGAGAUUCGAUUUGUCCCCUAAAACAUUCAAAAACUCCGACUGAUGUCCCAUGGAGAGCAUUCUGAUAGGUUGCAUCACAGCUGGUAUGUGGGGGGUAGGGGGUGGAAUGCACAGGACCUAAAGAAGCUGCAGGAGGUUGUAAAUUUAGUCAGCCCUAUCAGAUUGGGAAUUCUUCAUUUAGUGUAAUGUAAUUGAAGUAAAAAUAAGUUACAACUUUUAAACUGAAAAUUGAAGAGUUGAGAUAUGGACGUAAUGACAGGAAUUCUUGGCAGUUCUUGUGACGUGCUUCAACUUGAUAUCUAUUAGCUAAGUCUGUUUUGAAUAUUAAACCAGAUCAUUCUUAUUGGGAAAAAUUGGUCUUCCUAACCAUUGUUAAUUGCAAUGAAGAUAAAUCAACAAACUCUCAGUGUAAAAGUUUCAUUUGAAAGACUCAUGUAAAAAGUAAAAAAGUUCUGGCAGAUAUUAUUAACCCAAGCAUAAAAGCCAGAAGUGAACAACUCUGGUUUUGCUCACAAACUAGAAUAAAUUGAUUGCUACCAACACUUCGUGUUGAUGACACGUAUAGCUAAUUCCCUUCAGAAGAACAACAAGUCAUACAACAUGGGUAGUCUGAGUCAAGUCAAUACAAACUAACUUACAGGAUGAUCUGACAUUUAAAACUACUU